CAGAAAAAGCACCGGCUAACUACGUGCCAGCAGCCGCGGUAAUACGUAGGGUGCGAGCGUUGUCCGGAAUUAUUGGGCGUAAAGAGCUUGUAGGCGGUCUGUCGCGUCUGCUGUGAAAACCCGAGGCUCAACCUCGGGCCUGCAGUGGGUACGGGCAGACUAGAGUGCGGUAGGGGAGAACGGAACUCCUGGUGUAGCGGUGGAAUGCGCAGAUAUCAGGAAGAACACCGAUGGCGAAGGCAGUUCUCUGGGCCGUAACUGACGCUGAGAAGCGAAAGCGUGGGGAGCGAACAGGAUUAGAUACCCUGGUAGUCCACGCCGUAAACGUUGGGCGCUAGAUGUGGGGACCAUUCCACGGUUUCCGUGUCGUAGCUAACGCAUUAAGCGCCCCGCCUGGGGAGUACGGCCGCAAGGCUAAAACUCAAAGGAAUUGACGGGGGCCCGCACAAGCGGCGGAGCAUGCGGAUUAAUUCGAUGCAACGCGAAGAACCUUACCAAGGCUUGACAUAUACCGGAAACGGCCAGAGAUGGUCGCCCCCUUGUGGUCGGUAUACAGGUGGUGCAUGGUUGUCGUCAGCUCGUGUCGUGAGAUGUUGGGUUAAGUCCCGCAACGAGCGCAACCCUCGUUCUAUGUUGCCAGCGGUUCGGCCGGGAACUCAUAGGAGACUGCCGGGGUCAACUCGGAGGAAGGUGGGGAUGACGUCAAAUCAUCAUGCCCCUUAUGUCUUGGGCUUCACGCAUGCUACAAUGGCCGGUACAAAGGGCUGCGAUGCCGUAAGGCGGAGCGAAUCCCAAAAAGCCGGUCUCAGUUCGGAUUGAGGUCUGCAACUCGACCUCAUGAAGUCGGAGUCGCUAGUAAUCGCAGAUCAGCAACGCUGCGGUGAAUACGUUCCCGGGCCUUGUACACACCGCCCGUCAAGUCAUGAAAGUCGGUAACACC
rnacentral:rRNA from 1 species